UGGGGAAUCUUGGACAAUGGGCGCAAGCCUGAUCCAGCCAUGCCGCGUGCAGGAUGACGGUCCUAUGGAUUGUAAACUGCUUUUGUACAGGAAGAAACAGUUCUACGUGUAGAACCUUGACGGUACUGUAAGAAUAAGGAUCGGCUAACUCCGUGCCAGCAGCCGCGGUAAUACGGAGGAUCCAAGCGUUAUCCGGAAUCAUUGGGUUUAAAGGGUCCGUAGGCGGUUAGAUAAGUCAGUGGUGAAAGCCCAUCGCUCAACGGUGGAACGGCCAUUGAUACUGUCUGACUUGAAUUAUUAGGAAGUAACUAGAAUAUGUAGUGUAGCGGUGAAAUGCUUAGAGAUUACAUGGAAUACCAAUUGCGAAGGCAGGUUACUACUAAUGGAUUGACGCUGAUGGACGAAAGCGUGGGUAGCGAACAGGAUUAGAUACCCCAGUAGCCCCUGAGCGGGCUGGCAAGGCGCAU
rnacentral:rRNA from 1 species